rnacentral:rRNA from 1 species
UACGUAGGGGGCAAGCGUUGUCCGGAAUUAUUGGGCGUAAAGAGCGUGUAGGCGGCCAGAUAAGUCCGCUGUGAAAUCUCGAGGCUCAACUUCGAGCUGUCGGUGGAAACUAUCUGGCUAGAGUCCGGAAGAGGAGAAUGGAAUUCCUGGUGUAGCGGUGAAAUGCGUAGAGAUCCGGAGGAACACCAGUGGCGAAGGCGACACGCUGGGCCAUACCUGACGCUAAAGCGCGACAGCAUGGGGAGCAAACGGG